rnacentral:rRNA from 1 species
ACUCAAAGGAAUUGACGGGGGCCCGCACAAGCAGCGGAGCAUGUUGUUUAAUUCGAAGCAACGCGAAGAACCUUACCAGGUCUUGACAUCCAUUGAAUCCUGCAGAAAUGCGGGAGUGCCGCAAGGAACAAUGAGACAGGUGGUGCAUGGUUGUCGUCAGCUCGUGUCGUGAGAUGUUGGGUUAAGUCCCGCAACGAGCGCAACCCUUAUUGUCAGUUGCCAGCACGUAACGGUGGGAACUCUGACGAGACAGCCGGGGUAACUCGGAGGAAGGUGGGGACGACGUCAAAUCAUCAUGCUCUUUAUGACCUGGGCUACAAACGUGCUACAAUGGCCGAAACAAAGGGAUGCAAGGGCGCAAGCCGGAGCGAAACCUAAAAUUCGGUCCCAGUUCAGAUUGAGGGCUGCAACCCGCCCUCAUGAAGAUGGAGUUGCUAGUAAUCGCGAAUCAGCACGUCGCGGUGAAUACGUUCCCGGGCCUUGCACACACCGCCCGU